CCUACGGGAGGCAGCAGUGGGGAAUCUUGCGCAAUGGGCGAAAGCCUGACGCAGCAACGCCGCGUGCGGGAAGAAGGCUUUCGGGCUGUAAACCGCUUUCAGCAGGAACGAAAAUGACGGUACCUGCAGAAGAAGGAGCGGCCAACUAUGUGCCAGCAGCCGCGGUGAUACAUAGGCUUCAAGCGUUGUCCGGAUUUAUUGGGCGUAAAGAGUUCGUAGGCGGUCGAGUAAGUCGGGUGUGAAAAUUCUGGGCUCAACCCAGAGACGCCACCCGAUACUGCUUAACUUGAGUUCGAUAGGGGAGUGGGGAAUUCCUAGUGUAGCGGUGAAAUGCGCAGAUAUUAGGAGGAACACCGGUGGCGAAGGCGCCACUCUGGAUCGAUACUGACGCUGAGGAACGAAAGCAUGGGUAGCAAACAGGAUUAGAUACCCUGGUAGUCCAUGCCGUAAACGGUGGGCACUAGGUGUGGGAUUCUAUUAACGAAUUCCGCGUCGUCGCUAACGCAUUAAGUGCCCCGCCUGGGGGAGGUACGGUCGCGAGACGUAAACGUACGAAAGGAAGUUAAGUACGGCGUUGAGACGUUGCCGAACGGCGACGACGAGGGAGGAGG
rnacentral:rRNA from 1 species